AUUAGAUACCCUGGUAGUCCACGCAGUAAACGAUGAAUACUAAUUGUCCGGGCAGAAUGGUGCCUGGGUGAUACAGCGAAAGCGUUAAGUAUUCCACCUGGGGAGUACGCCGGCAACGGUGAAACUCAAAGGAAUUGACGGGGGCCCGCACAAGCGGAGGAACAUGUGGUUUAAUUCGAUGAUACGCGAGGAACCUUACCCGGGCUCAAACGACACAGGAAUACUUUUGAAAGGAGGUAGCCAGCAAUGGUCUGUGUCGAGGUGCUGCAUGGUUGUCGUCAGCUCGUGCCGUGAGGUGUCGGCUUAAGUGCCAUAACGAGCGCAACCCCCACCGUCAGUUGCCAGCAGGUAAAGCUGGGGACUCUGGCGGGACUGCCGGCGCAAGCUGCGAGGAAGGCGGGGAUGACGUCAAAUCAGCACGGCCCUUACGUCCGGGGCGACACACGUGUUACAAUGGCAGGUACAGCGAGAAGCCACCUGGCGACAGGGCGCGGAACCCGAAAGCCUGUCUCAGUUCGGAUUGGAGUCUGCAACCCGACUCCAUGAAGCUGGAUUCGCUAGUAAUCGCGCAUCAGCCACGGCGCGGUGAAUACGUUCCCGGGCCUUGUACACACCGCCCGUCAAGCCAUGGGAGCCGGGAGUACCUGAAGUGCGUAACCGCAAGGAGCGCCCUAGGGUAAAACCGGUGACUGGGGCUAAGUCGUAACAAGGUAAC
rnacentral:rRNA from 1 species